ensembl:lncRNA
AGGGGCGGCAGCUAGGAGGAGCAACCUCACGUCCAAGGAGCGGUGGCUGCCUGGGCACAGGAGGGCCUAGAGGAGCUAUCCCAUACUGAAGGUCAGUAAGGGUGGUGGUGAGGAGAACCCUUCACCCAAGGUAAGGAGCAGCAGCUGCGCUAGGCUGGAGCAGCCUUGAAGAGAUACCCCAUGCCCAAGCCCCAUGGGCUUCCCUGUCCAGCAGCCAGGCUUCCUUGUCCAGCAGCAACUCCUUGAAUGAGUCUUAAAAACACAGUGUGACAGCUGACUACAUGCUUAUGAGGAGCACAGAGAAAUUAGUAUAACUCCACAGCUUGCUAGAAUACAGUUCCUGGGCUUUUAUCUCACAGCUUGAGAUGAAAUAAAUUAUAAAGGAAAUUAUACAGCAAAAAAAGAAGGAAAAAAAAAAAGAAAGAAAUAGAAAAAAUAACAGCACUCAAGUACCAGUAUGUAAAACAAAGAACAUGCAGAAACAGUUUUCAGUACAGAAAAUAAAGGGCUCAAAAAUCCCCCAAUAUAUUCAGCCUCCAAGUACUGAAAUAAUUGUGAAGUAAGGCCCUUUGCCAUAUUACUGUUU